rnacentral:hammerhead_ribozyme from 1 species
AUCCAGCUGACGAGUCCCAAAUAGGACGAAACACGCGUCCUGGUU